CUGAAAUUAGUGGUGCUUCGAUUGAUCAGCUACCGACCACAAUCGGCCGAUAAUCACUUUCGGAUGAUUGAUCGGCGGUCUCUAAAAAGGCUGAUCUCAUAAAACUGAUCUCAAGAUGACGUGGUGCUUGCCGUGAGAGGUUUGGCUCGACACGAAGUGACUCAAGUGAGACGGUGCGGCGUGGGUGAAAUAAUUAUAAUGCUUUAGGGAGUCAGGGGACGUUUCUAAUUCACACAAGGUCAUUCAGUCUAGAAGGGAUCGAUGAUAUGAGAAUAAGCACAUGGACAUCUCAUGCUUUCAGCUGCUAGGAGACCACAGGAUACGGAGAAAGACAAGCAGAACAACUGAAGAAACCCACCUGUCCACAGACACCGCGGCCAGAGUGAAACUGCUAGCGUACAUGGUGAGGUUGAUGAAGAAGUGGACCACCUUGCACAUGAAGGACCCAAAGACCCAACCCUCCAGAGAGUAGAUGGUUGCUUGGAAAGGCACACAGAAGAUG